CUGGUUGAUCCUGCCAGACCCUACUGCUAUCACAGUGGGACUAACCCAUGCGAGUCAACAUUUAAAUACUUGGCUAACGGCUCAGUAACACGUAAUCAACAUGCCCAGAGGACGUGGAUAACCUCGGGAAACUGACGAUAAACCGCUAUAGGCCAUGAUUUCUGCAAUGGUUCAUGGCUGAAACCUAUAUGGCUUCUGGAUUGGACUGCUUCCCAUCAGGUGGUUGUUGAGGUAUUGGCCCACCUAACCCGUACCCGGUACGGGCUCUGAAAGGAGGAGCCCGGAGAUGGGCACUGAAAAAAGGGCCCAGGCCCUAUGGGGCGCAGCAGGCGCCAAAUCUCUGCAAUAAGCGAAAGCUUGACGGGGUUACUCUGAUUGAUUCCCGCUAAGGGGAUCUUUUGGCACCUCUAAAAAUGGUGCAGAAUAAGGGGUGGGCCAGUCUGGUGUCAGCCGCCGCGGUAAUACCAGCACCCCUAGUGGUCGGGACGAUUAUUGGGCCUAAAGCAUCCGUAUCCGGUAUUGCACGUCUUCUGUUAAAUCGCUCUGCUCAACAGAUGGGGUGCGGUGGAUACUACAGCGCUAGGAGGCGGUAGAGGCUAGCAGUACUCAGUGGUUAGGGGUAUAAUCCGCUGAUCAUUCGAAGACCACCAGUGCAGACGCAGCCGGCCAGAACGCGCUCGAUAGUUAGGAUGAAAGCAUGCGGAACAAAGCGGACUAGAUAGCCUGCUAGUCCCAUCUCUAACGA
rnacentral:rRNA from 1 species